rnacentral:rRNA from 1 species
AUUGAACGCUGGCGGCAGGCCUAACACAUGCAAGUCGAACGAGUGGCGGACGGGUGAGUAAUGUCUGGGAAACUGCCUGAUGGAGGGGGAUAACUACUGGAAACGGUAGCUAAUACCGCAUACCAUCGGAUGUGCCCAGCUGGGAUUAGCUAGUAGGUGGGGUAAAGGCUCACCUAGGCGACGAUCCCUAGCUGGUCUGAGAGGAUGACCAUCUAAGCUGGAACGGAGACACGGUCCAGACACCUACGGUAGGUAGCAGUGGUGAAUAUUGCACAAUGGGCGCAAGCCUGAUGCAUCCAUGCCGCGUGUAUGAAGAAGGCCUGCGGGUUGUAAAGUACUUUCAGCGGGGAGGCGGUACUCGCAGAAGAAGCACAGGCUAACUCCGUGCCAGCAGCCGCGGUAAUAC